rnacentral:rRNA from 1 species
CACGUAGGAGACGAGCGUUAUCCGGAUUUACUGGGUGUAAAGCGCGUGUAGGCGGCUGGGUAAGUUGGAUGUGAAAGCUCCUGGCUUAACUGGGAGAGGUCGUUCAAAACUGCCUGGCUAGAGUGCAGCAGAGGGGAGUGGAAUUCCGAGUGUAGCGGUAAAAUGCAUAGAUAUUCGGAAGAACACCAGUGGCGAAGGCGGCUCUCUGGGCUGCAACUGACGCUCAGACGCGAAAGCUAUGGUAGCGAACGGG